AGUCUAUAGAGGCGCUGUCAGUGCAGCUAUUUGGGAUAAGUUCCUUGGAAGAGGACAGCAUCGAGGGUGAUACUCCCGUUUGUGCCUGAGUAGCUUGUGCGUACGACACGUUUUCUUUGAGUCGCGUUGUUUGGGACUGCAGCGCAAAGUAGGUGGUAAAUUCCAUCUAAAGCUAAAUAUUGGUGCGAGACCGAUAGCGAACAAGUACCGUGAGGGAAAGAUGAAAAGAACUUUGAAAAGAGAGUUAAAGAGUACCUGAAACUGCUGAAAGGGAAGCGAAUCGUAUCCAGUGUCUAUAAUCUGUGGCAUAUUUCAUUGGCGAGUAGGUGCGUGCAGUAUGUAGGAAGUGGUUUUCUGCUCCUUGUGCUGUUGUGCGUUUGCUUGUUGGUGCCCUGUGUUGCGGUGGGACGUCAGAGUCAGUUCGUAUGCUGUGAGAAAUGGCUACUGAGGAGGUAGGUAGGGAGCUUGCUCUUGGCUGUUAUAUCUUGGUAGUUAGUUGUCGUGGCUGGGACUGAGGUGCCUACAACGUGCUUUAAAGUCUUGGGGACUCUCGUUUGGUUACCUGUUUGGAUAGCUUGCUAUGCUGACGGUGUGAUUGUGCGAUUGAGGUCUUGGGUAACUUUUGCCGUUCGGGACUUUGACGAAAUGGAGCGAUUCGGCCCGUCUUGAAACACGGACCAAGGAGUCUAACAUGUGUGCAAGUGUUAGGGUGUGGAAACCCGAGCGCGAAAUGAAAGUAAAGGAUGGCGUACGCUGUCUGAGGUAGGAAACCUUUCUUAUGGGAGGUGGCACUAUCGACCGAUCAUGAACCCUCGUGGUGAAAGAUUUGAGUUUGAGCACAUAUGUUGGUACCCGAAAGAUGGUGAACUAUGCCUGAGUAGGGUGAAGCCAGGGGAAACUCUGGUGGAAGCUCGUAGCGAUUCUGACGUGCAAAUCGAUCGUCAAACUUGGGUAUAGGGGCGAAAGACUAAUCGAACCAUCUAGUAGCUGGUUCCCUCCGAAAUUUCCCUCAGGAUAGCAGCAACUUAUUUACGAUAGUUUUAUGAGGUAAA
rnacentral:rRNA from 1 species